CAAAAUCUUGGACUGUUUUUAAUAUUGCCAUUGUUUUGCACUAUAUUUGUAACAGUGCUCUCUGAGGAUGACGAAGCGUGUGUAUUGAAGAUAAGCAGGGAGGCGUGCCCUAGAGUACCCGGAAUUUUAAAAAGUUUGGAUCUCAUACCUUGUGGAAUCUUUGGCUGUUCCGGUCACAAUGAAAGAUGCUGCGAGAUCACUUGUCCAGAUUUGGAUGUGGAUUUGGGAAACUAUUGUUUUCGUAAAAGAUUGCAAUUAUAAACAAACAACAACUGCAAACUGUCUCCUGAAACAUGGUUUUAUUCCACCCUCCCAAUUUGUUGAAUAAUAAAAUGGCUUACUCCGGGAUAUUCAUGUACUGUGGCAUUCUGAAAAUAACUGUAUAUACUAAGUAGGCAUAUCAUAAUUUUAAUGCAAUAAAAUUUGUCUAAUCCGGG